AACCCAUUGUGAGGGCACCAUCUCAAUAAGUCUUUAUACCUCUCCCAUGCAUCAUAUAGGGACUCUAAGUCGAUCUGAACGAAGGAAGAGAUAUCGUUGCUCAACUU
rfam:Gossypium hirsutum cultivar TM-1 chromosome 25, whole genome shotgun sequence